rnacentral:rRNA from 1 species
GACGAACGCUGGCGGCGUGCUUAACACAUGCAAGUCGAACGUUGAUGCCCAGCUUGCUGGGUGGAUUAGUGGCGAACGGGUGAGUAACACGUGAGUAACCUGCCCCUGACUCUGGGAUAAGCGUUGGAAACGACGUCUAAUACUGGAUACGACUGCCGGCCGCAUGGUCUGGUGGUGGAAAGAUUUUUUGGUUGGGGAUGGACUCGCGGCCUAUCAGCUUGUUGGUGAGGUAAUGGCUCACCAAGGCGACGACGGGUAGCCGGCCUGAGAGGGUGACCGGCCACACUGGGACUGAGACACGGCCCAGACUCCUACGGAAGGCAGCAGUGGGGAAUAUUGCACAAUGGGCGAAAGCCUGAUGCAGCAACGCCGCGUGAGGGAUGACGGCCUUCGGGUUGUAAACCUCUUUUAGUAGGGAAGAAGCGAAAGUGACGGUACCUGCAGAAAAAGCACCGGCUAACUACGUGCCAGCCGCCGCCGUAA